rnacentral:tRNA from 1 species
GGGGGAGAAUAGGGUCCGGUGGCUCUACUGGUCUUCAAAACCAGCUUGUCUACGCCAGUGGAUAGGUGGGUUCGACUCCCACCCUCUCCCGCCA